AUGGUUGUUUUCAUUUGAACUUUGCUUGGUUUGCCUUAGCUUGGCCUAUACAAUCAGAUGCUGACAUAAAAGGGGUGUUAUAGCUUAAUCUCAGGGCCCCUCAGCAACCAGCUCCCUGGGGGAAAGGGCUGGGCCUUUUACCUCUACAUCUCCCUGUUUCCUCUUCAGAAAAUAUGCCCAGAAAAUCUUAUCAUCUCAACCUCCCUCUUUCCUUGUGGAAUUCUACCCUUUGUCCUAGAGGGAAAAAUUGCUAUACCUACCCACAGGUAACAGCAGCCCUUAUCCUGACUUCUCAUUAUACAUCCGCCGCAUACCCCUCACCGAUUGAAGUCUGCUCCUUCCCCUGUCCCCCACCAAAGACAAUCUGUAUUCUAUCUUCUCCAUAGAAAAUAGCUAAUAAUUUCCCCCAUAGCCUCCCCCCACAAAUGAAUUAAUUUACUAUUGACUUCUCCCUCCAGUUCUGUCCUUUGUGGAGUGAAUUGAGGCAUUUUCAAAAACACCUACAUUAUUUAGGAUUGUGGGUCCCAUGGAAGAGCAAUGAGUCUUGUACUUCUGAAUCACUGAGGUACUCUUGAAAAUCCUAUCCCUUAACUCUUUUCUGGGAUUCACAGGGUAGUGGGUGAAGGGCUGCCCCACUAGCUCCUCACUAAGGAAACCUCCCUAUGGAUUGCAUACUCAGUGUAUUCUGUAGGGGCAAAGGGUAAUGGACUCCAGCAAGUGAACUUAGAGCUAUGUAAGGGAGCAAUUACCUCCAUACUGGAUUCAUUCAGUGUAAUACAGUGGUUCACAAACUGCUUCGCAGGAUCACUAGUGUUUCACAGAGCACAUACUAAUGGCCUUCAGAAAGGUGACUGGUCACAUUGUGCUUUUUCUCCUUGUUAGCAGGCAGUACAUCAAAAGCACAGAAAUACAUUAAAAAUUUUCCUAUGUUACUUUCCCAUGUAAGCAAGUAAGUUACUGUGACUAUGAACAGGAGGUGAGGUGUCCAUGAGACAAUCUUUUGAUUGAGAUAUGGUCUACAAUAGUCUGAAAACUGCUGGUAACACAUAAAGAGAUUUUUGCACUUUCAUAGUGCCUGUGUAUUUGAAUACCACAAAAUCAUGCACUCAGGUUUUUGAGCAACCAUCAAUUUGCAAGUAGAGAAGCUCUGUUCUGCAUGCCAUUGUGCUAGGUGAGCAAGGCUGCUCUCCUUCCUUGUGUCCCAGCUGGUGGGAAGUGAUUUCUAUAAUACACCAUUUUGUACUAUGUAUAAUAUAUAUUGACUUCUUACCACAUCUCCAAUCCUGUUCCUUUGUCAAGUGAAUUGAGACAUUUUCAAAAACACCUACAUUAUUUAGGAUUAUUUAUAUAUAAUAUAAAUUAUUAUUUUAAGGACAUGGCCAUCAGGCCUUCUUCUGUUAAAAGAAGGCUUCUUUCCUGAAGGGGCUUCUUAGUUGUUGCUUGCCCAUUAUCGGUCUCUGAUAUUGACCCAGAUGUUUUUAAUUUACUUCCCCAAACACACAAUUGCUUUUUAAAAUUUUGCAGAAAGGCAGAGAUUUUUAUCAGAUCUGUCUAUCCACUGCCCCCAUUUAGGAGACAUUUUUAAUGGGUUUGGGUCAAUAUGCUCCAUGCCUUGUGGUUAAGACAGAAGAUCAUGGUUCUAUUUCCAGCCCUUCCACCAACUUCCCAUGUAACCAUGGUUAAGGCACUUAACCUGUCCGUGCCUUAGUUUCCUCAUCUGUAAAUGAGGAUGAUGUCUCAUUCACAGUGUGUAAAGAGCUUUGAGAUCCUCAGUUAGAAAAUGCUGAUGAAGUGCAAAGCGUUACUGUAAAAAUGUGGUAUAGAAAUUAGUUUUGUGCUGAAACUGACAGAAACCACAGGGCAACUGGAAAGAUGGGGAAGAUCAGAAACCAGAGUUUAUGCCAAGGUGAAGGGAGAUGUGGGGGUGAAGGACCACACUGGAUCCCCAACUCCUGGAUAGGAAUUCCCUCCAGUUGUGAAAUUCUCUUUACCAGAUCACAGUGGAUGGAGUUUAAUUCCUGCUUCAUCCAUUCAUUAAAGAGGGGAUAAAGCCAGGUGCUCUUCUCUAGCUUCCAUGGCUUUCUCUAUGGAGAGACACCUGAUAAAUCAUCAGAAGUUAAUGAUCAAAAAGCUUAUCUCAGGGUCUUUUCGUUUAUAAAUUUAUAAGACAAAAGAGAAAUAAUAAAGCCAUUGGAUAAUUAGUAACUAGCCAGGGCCCGCCCGGUGCAACUGGAGCUCAAACUGCCCCAAGAUCUCUACACAGGCUUAGGGAGAAGAGAGAGAGAAGGAGAUGGGUAAAAGCAAUGUGAAAGAGAGACAGACAGACAUAGAAAUAGGGUGAUGAGAGACAGAGAGAAGUGGGGGGGGGGGGAUAGGAAAGGAGGAUCUGAGGAAAACAGAUAUAGAACAGGGGAGUUGGAAACAGCAAAGGUGUAAGAAAGAGGGAGGGGGACAAAAUGAAAAGGCAGAGAAGGGAAAGGGGUUUAUUGGAUGGAAAAGAAGAUUGAAUUAUGGGGAGCAUCUUUCCUCUCAGGGAAGAGGUGAAGGAAAGAGAAAUAAAGGAACGGAGAGCAAGAAGGGGAAAGGAAAACCAUGUCCUUACUGUAAUAGUCUCUCCACCACAGCCUUCUGAUGACUGCUCCAGAAAGCACCUCCUCCCCUUGGCACAGGGCAGAAUACACAAGUAAAGUUAACAUGGCUAACCUGAGGUCCUGGAACACAGCUUCAGCCUGGUUAAAGGCACAGCAUACUGUAGUCUGAGCCCCAGUUAUGGAAACCAACGUACCAAAAGGUUAAAUGACUUUUCCAGGGUCAUGUAGGAAACUUGUUGCAGAGCCAUGAAUAGAGGCCAGCUCUCCAAGCCUUAACCACAAGAUCAUCCUCCUUCCUGCCAUUUGGGACUCCUUUGAGUUCAGAUGCUUAACAAAAAUAUGAACUGACACUGACCAUAUAAAGAUUGCUGCUCAUGUUGAGGACUUGAAGUCUUGUGUGACACUGUCCAAUGACCUGCUCUGGCUGAGGUUUGGAGCAGAGCUGGUCGGGUCUUGAGAAAGCUAUCUCCACUUCUUAUUCAUCAAAGCAAAGGUGAUUGUGACCCACCGUCUUUAAAUGUGCAGGAGACAGCAAAGGAAUAAAGAGAUACAGCUUCUUAAUGCACCCAGAAACCAUCUCCCAGCUAGUCCUGGUCCCCCUUGCAACCUUCAGACAUGGAAAAUUUCAGAAUGGCUGCAUCUGAAGGCCAGUUGGAACCAAAGGACUUACUACUUGUAAUCUUUCAGAGUGGACAGGACAGUGUACUGCAUGGGAGUUGUCUUAAAGUGUUGAAUUGCUGGCAUUUCCUGACAGACUUUUGGAACAAGGGUUACAUGUCAGCUGUUUGUGCAAACUGUGAACACCUCACUGGAUGGAAGGAGUACCAAAAUACAUUAUUAUUAAGGGAUUAUGAUGGGAAAUUAGUUUGUAGUAGAGCAGGAGAGUAAACAGCUACUUUUUGGUAGGUACCAAACCUGGAGCCUUGUCCUCAGCAGAGCAAUGUCUUGCCUCUUUAAUUCCCCUCGCCACGUGGUGCAGGGAGUAGUUAAGAUCAAGAAAACAGGUGUUUUGAUGCCCUUCCCUGGACAUUUAAAAUUAGACUGGACAAAGAACUAGAAAGUAUGGUAUGGGGAAUGACCCUGCACUGGUCUUAGGGAGAUGGAGGGGAUGAACUACAAGUCUUAUUUAUCUCUAAUUUCCUCUCUCUCUAGAGGAUGAGGAGGAGGAUGUGCACACAAGUAUGCCAUCCUUUCAUUCUUUGACCUGCCUGGAUAAAUAGAGGUAGGAGCACACAUUUAAACCAUCUACAAUGUUGAGAUUCAUAUUAAGAUCUUGAAUGCAGAAGAACCCAUUGCAGCUCUGAGAUAAAUUCUAAGACUGGAAUACUGAUUUUUGCCUUCUUUCCCUGCUCAUUUCCAUCCUCUCUGCUCCCCCCAAACCUCUGAAGAACUGACAACCAUUCCUGUCAUGUCUCUGUCUGCAAGGUGGUCAUUUCACACUAGGCCACUCUGUUUUUAUCUCUCUAUUUCCAUCAGUGAGGAAUCAGAACUGGGUCUGUUAGACUGACAUCUGAUAAAAGCCAAGCUUUGUGGCUGAUGGGGGAGGGCUCUUUGCUGUCAGUGGUGCCAUCUGAUUCCCCUCUACCACCCGUUCUCUCCCAUGCUGUUACCUUUCUGUGCCCUGGGAGCUACUUAUGCAACCCGGGACAAAGAAGGAUCUUAUUUGUUUGCUGCCAGCACUGAAAUGGCUCUGACAGGUCUAGGCACUGCAGCAGUGUAUGUUCAAGGUGCGGUGCAGUGCAGUGCAGCUCACUUGAAGAGAGACUGUAAUGUCAGACUCUGAUAUCACUGAAACUCAGAGUAAGGCUCUCCAUCUCUUGCAGGUCUGAGGAGAUUCUGUGAAAGAGAGAGAUAUGAUAAGAAAAUAAUUUGGGGAAUGCAAGCAAUGCCCCACCCCACACUGCUAAGAGUGAGUGCGUGCUGGAUCUGCAGAAAGGAAUAAACCUGCCCUGUGAACUGGUCUCAUUGUUACUGUGUAAUGCUGUUGGAGCAUGCCUGCAAAAUCAUCAUGAAUGUUUACUAGCCUAGGCACAAAGUCUACUUGCCUGCUUUUACCAUGUUGCUGCUGAAAAUCUAAUGAUACGUUAAUUGCCCAUCAGAUAAAAUCAGUUGUGCCUCAAACUAAUGUGGUAAGUAGAGUUUUUCCAGGCUGUAGAAUUAGAAACCAUUUCAUCAUGGGUGGUCAGCAUGCAUGCUGCUGUUCUAUGGAUACCAGAAUUGUUUUAUGCCCCAUUCCCAGAAGAGUCCAGGAAACUAAUCUGAAGAACUGAAAAGUACUUGAAGUAUUGAUUUACACUCCCCUCUGAUAGUGGAAAAGAGCAGGAGAUUGUGCUCUACUGGUUUGUAAAGACUUGUGAAAAUAAAUUGUUUGAACAAA